GAUGAACGCUAGCGAUAGGCCUAACACAUGCAAGUCGAGGGGCAUCACAUGAAGUAGCAAUACGGAUGGUGGCGACCGGCGCACGGGUGAGUAACACGUAUGCAACCUGCCUUCAACAAGGGGAUAACCCGUUGAAAGACGGACUAAUACCCUAUAACACAGGGGUCCCGCAUGGGAAUAUUUGUUAAAGGACAACCGGUUGAAGAUGGGCAUGCGUUCCAUUAGCUAGUUGGCGGGGUAACGGCCCACCAAGGCAACGAUGGAUAGGGGAACUGAGAGGUUUAUCCCCCACACUGGUACUGAGACACGGACCAGACUCCUACGGGAGGCAGCAGUGAGGAAUAUUGGUCAAUGGGCGAGAGCCUGAACCAGCCAAGUCGCGUGCAGGAUGAAGGCCUUCGGUUGUAACUGCUUUGUACGGAACGAAAGGACGCCUUCUAAUACAGGGCGCUCAUGACGGUACCGUAAGAAUAAGACACCGGCUAACUACGUGCCAGCAGCCGCGGU
rnacentral:rRNA from 1 species